rnacentral:misc_RNA from 1 species
CAGAUGCACCAAAAAAAAAAAAAAUGAACUUGUUGCCCUUUUUGACCCUUCCACUAGCUUCAAAAGGAGGGCAGGAGAAAGAAAGAAAACACUGUAAAAUAAAAAUAAAAAAGAACCACCAUUUCCUGCACAGCUACCUGAGUUUUUCCAAUCUCCCGAAAGUUGUCUGGCUCUUUGAUGCAUAAUUCUAUUCAAACGGCCAAUUUGGGUAAAACCACCUCAUAAUAUUAUCAGAGUAGAAUAAACAACAGCCCAAGUAAAAGUCAACAGCAAGUAUUAGUUGGUAUAAUUAGUUAGCUUGUUGCCCAACUUAUUUCUCACUAAUUGCUUUCUACUUUUGGGGGGCAUUUUACCAAAAUAACCCUCACAGCAUAUGAAAUUUGCUCCCCACUCACGUCUUUGUCAUAGCCAAUCACAGGGAGAUGACAAACUUGAUUUGUACGUUCAGCGCCCACAAAGCUAAUUCAAAUGCGCCAGCUGCUCUGCUUCUUUGCCUCGAAGGAAGCUCCAUCGUUAAGCAUGUCCUGAGCAUCAGAUUCCAUUCCAAGCUUAGAGAGUGCAAGAGCUUGCAUGUAGAAUGCAGUCGGCCACUCAGGCAAGCACACCUGAGCCUGCAUGGCAUCUCUCAAGGCAAGUUCUGCUUGGCCAAUCAUCAAAUAUGAUAGGGCUCGCCUCACAAAAACAGUACCCGAGGGAACAGACAUCAUCGAUACCAACUGUAUUUGGAAAGAUGAUACAACUAAAAACAUAAAUUUAAGGUAAUUUAAGACAAUGAGCAUAAAUACAUUCUGCCUAAACAAAGGCACCAAAAUUACAGUGAAGUAACAAAAAGGUACUUCUCUUAAAAAUAUAUAUAUAUAUAUUUUUAAGAGAAGUACCUUUUUGUUACUUCACUGUAAUUUUGGUGCCUUUGUUUAGGCAGAAUGUAUUUAUGCUCAUUGUCUUAAAUUACCUUAAAUUUAUGUUUUUAGUUGUAUCAUCUUUCCAAAUACAGUUGGUAUCGAUGAUGUCUGUUCCCUCGGGUACUGUUUUUGUGAGGCGAGCCCUAUCAUAUUUGAUGAUUGGCCAAGCAGAACUUGCCUUGAGAGAUGCCAUGCAGGCUCAGGUGUGCUUGCCUGAGUGGCCGACUGCAUUCUACAUGCAAGCUCUUGCACUCUCUAAGCUUGGAAUGGAAUCUGAUGCUCAGGACAUGCUUAACGAUGGAGCUUCCUUCGAGGCAAAGAAGCAGAGCAGCUGGCGCAUUUGAAUUAGCUUUGUGGGCGCUGAACGUACAAAUCAAGUUUGUCAUCUCCCUGUGAUUGGCUAUGACAAAGACGUGAGUGGGGAGCAAAUUUCAUAUGCUGUGAGGGUUAUUUUGGUAAAAUGCCCCCCAAAAGUAGAAAGCAAUUAGUGAGAAAUAAGUUGGGCAACAAGCUAACUAAUUAUACCAACUAAUACUUGCUGUUGACUUUUACUUGGGCUGUUGUUUAUUCUACUCUGAUAAUAUUAUGAGGUGGUUUUACCCAAAUUGGCCGUUUGAAUAGAAUUAUGCAUCAAAGAGCCAGACAACUUUCGGGAGAUUGGAAAAACUCAGGUAGCUGUGCAGGAAAUGGUGGUUCUUUUUUAUUUUUAUUUUACAGUGUUUUCUUUCUUUCUCCUGCCCUCCUUUUGAAGCUAGUGGAAGGGUCAAAAAGGGCAACAAGUUCAUUUUUUUUUUUUUUGGUGCAUCUG